GAUGAACGCUGGCGGCGUGCCUAAUACAUGCAAGUCGAGCGAACAGAUAAGGAGCUUGCUCCUUUGACGUUAGCGGCGGACGGGUGAGUAACACGUGGGUAACCUACCUAUAAGACUGGAAUAACUCCGGGAAACCGGGGCUAAUGCCGGAUAACAUUUAGAACCGCAUGGUUCUAAAGUGAAAGAUGGUUUUGCUAUCACUUAUAGAUGGACCCGCGCCGUAUUAGCUAGUUGGUAAGGUAACGGCUUACCAAGGCAACGAUACGUAGCCGACCUGAGAGGGUGAUCGGCCACACUGGAACUGAGACACGGUACAGACUCCUACGGGAGGCAGCAGUAGGGAAUCUUCCGCGAUGGGCGAAAGCCUGACGGAGCAACGCCGCGUGAGUGAUGAAGGUCUUCGGAUCGUAAAACUCUGUUAUUAGGGAAGAACAAAUGUGUAAGUAACUGUGCACGUCUUGACGGUACCUAAUCAGAAAGCCACGGCUAACUACGUG
rnacentral:rRNA from 1 species